ensembl:lncRNA
CCCAUUUCCGCGAUGGCCACUACGGGCAAAGUCACCGACACCCAAGGUCACAGGCUAGUAAAGGGUUGGAUGGAUUAUUUCAGGUGGUGAUUCCAAUGAGAACAUUUAUUUGGUAGUGAAAAGAAUUAUGUAAUAUAGUCCAGCCACGCUUCCGGUGCUCACUCUAGGAAUCAUUAUUUCUCAAGUAAAGUUUGCCUCUUAAAUGGGGCUGGAAUAAGGCUAUGGCUAGGAAGUUCCUGACACCCAAGGGCCAGAAGCGCCCGAAGCUGCCGGGGGACUUGUAACUGAAGAGAGAAGGGAAAGCUGCAGCUGACUGCUCCGGGAACUUGCCGCGGCGUGUUUUGGCUUUGGCUGCUCUUCCCCGCUCCCAGGAGCUGACCGCGGUCUCGUGGAGGGUCGCCUGGGCCGCCCGGACGGCUCAGAAAGGACCGGGACCCGGCGACGCCAAGUGGCAGCGGUCUCCGCCGAGUCACUUCAACAGCGAGACUUUUCAGUAGUUUUUAAAUGCCAGGGUCCACCGCCCAACCGGGACCCCUUGCCAGAGUCGUGAGCUUCGGGAGCCGCGGACGCUCCUGCUCCGUCAGUCGGCCGGGAGCCGGGUUGCCCGGAGUCGGCGGUCCUCGCGGAUGCCGGCAGCCACGGCGCGCCGGGUGGUCGCCGUCGGGACCCGGGCCCUGGAUGAUGCUACUGGGGCAGGAGUGGGAACGAAGGCACGUACACUGAAAAUUAAGUCGUCUGGACCUAGGGUUGUAUGUUUUAACCGUGUUUUAGGUUAAACGUUAGAACGUUUUUUCUCGUAUCCCACUGGAGUGGGCGAACCUGGCUGUCUUAUUUCGAAUUUCAAGGGCAGGAUGGAGGGGUGACAUUUUCUGGUUUUGUUUUUAACGGGGAGGUGGCCACUUCUAAUCCACUGACUGCUUGCUGUUUGUGUGUGUUUGUGUGUAUACAAUAGUGUGUUUUGCUUUGCAGUACAGAUAGCAAAGGCUAAACACCUGGAGUGUGAUCCUAACGUUUUAAUGCCCUUUUUUUUUUAACAUUUAAAAUGUGAUAUGUAACGGGACAAUCGAUUCUGAGGAAAGAAAGGAUUAUUUUUCUGCCGAAGACGCUGUCAUCCUCAAAAUGGAGUCCUAAAGAAUAUCUGAUGGAUAGAAUUUAAAUUCAUAGCACUUUAGAUAUGUUCUAGUCAAAGAAGACAAAAACAUAAAACAAAUAUUUGUCAGAUUGUUAAACGGUUCUAUUUCCCAAGACUAGAAAAAUAUAAGGCCAAAGUAAGCUAUUAAUGAGUAUUUGCCUGUAAGAGGUAUGUAAAAUUUAAGGAAAGAGAUUCAUUUUAUGAAACUGAGGAAUGCAUUCCACGAAUAGUAUACCUCAAAUUUUUUUAAUCCAGUUACAGCAGUCUUUUGUAUUUGCAUGACAUUUUUUUGAGGUAUUUUGUUUGUGUUGAUUUUAACCCUCAUCUUCCCUCUGUACUGCAGAACCGCAUCUUUCUGCAGGCUGCGCCUCAAUCACUAAGUUCCAUGCCCCAUCCCCUGCUUCACCCGCUCGCUGCUCCAGGCGCAUGCAUUACCGGGAUACAGUUUCUGGUGCUGUCUUUUCCUACUGAUGUUCUUUAUAUAUAUAUAUAUAUAUAUAUAUAUAUAUAUAUAUAUAUAUAUAUAUAUAUAUGUAAUAAACUUGGUUACCACUGAUCAGUUUGUAUCUCUUGCAAGAAAAGCCUAUCUUAGGACCCAAGUACCCAGAAAAAAAAUUUUAAUGGGAUUCCACUAAUUGUAACUCCAGUGCAUAGUAUUACAUUUCUCUGUACCAUACUGCAUUUCCUAUAGUGGGCAGCACAGAGCAGGUGGAUCCUGGAAAAGAAACUGCUAGAGAAGUGUGACAGUUUUACAUAGAUAGUCUCUAAUUGGAUAAGAUAUAAAUAAAAUAUAGUUCAUAGUUUCAAGAAUUAAUGGAAAAUAGUCCUAUAAACAUUACUGAUAAUAGUGGAAAUUGUCAAAACUCAGUUCAUAUAGUUUACUGAUCUGAUGAGAUGUUGACAAAGCCCUUUUGGUGUGAAAAAAUGCAAAGUUGUUCUUAAUAGUAACUGCAGAGCCUGAACACCAUUAGAGGUUUCUGUUAUCUUAUAUGACUCUUUGAUCCUUAUCAGUUUUAGUAUUAUUUAAUCAAGAAAUCGUGAUGUUUAAAAUUCCCUCUUGUAAAAAACUAUACCAAAUUUCAAAUCAAGCGUGUCAGGUGUGAUUUCAACAGCUUAAAUAACUGAGAAAGUGAUAUGUUGAUUCAUCAGAGAAAUUGUGGAUUUUAGGUUACUCCCAGGUUUAAUUGGUUGAACAGGGCUAUUGAACUUAAAUUUAUGUUUCAUUAAAGAUGAUCUUGGAAAGGAACCUUUGGUAAGAUGUGAGAAUGCUUUCAGCACUUGCUGCUCUGCUUGUGUCUGCUGCUGUACUUUUUUAUGUGGACUAACAUCUUAUUUGAACAUUUGAUUACAAUAUCAAAUCAUAGAUGUAGACUUUCCUUCAAGUGAUUCUAAAGGAAUACUGGUAACUAAGCUUUUAAAAGGUGAGGUAAUAGUUUAUUAUGCUGCAGAUUAGGGUAAUUGUAGAUAUUCUGAAUCUGCUGUUGACAGAUUACUAAAUAAUGUAUCUGUGUAGGGUCUGGUUCUUUGGGGUAUUUCAUUGUUGCUUCUGUUCAGUAUAUAUUAAAGGUUAUGCUUUGUACAUAAAUUCAGUGCAAUUUGCUUAAAGAAAGUUAUAAUUUUCAACUAAAAAAGACUUCUUAGUAAGACAAUAGCUAGAAGAACAUUAAAUGUUACCCAAUUAUAGUAUUCUUUGGAGAGGCAAUCCCAAAUGUGCUUUUUGAGGAAGUUGGUCUCACUUGGUGUUUAGGUCAAUUAUCUAACCUUGAAUUUUUAAAAUUGUUAUGGGUUUAAGGUCCUACAUUUGUUGUGUUAUUUAUCUCAUCUCUUUUGAUCACUGAAAAAGAAAAGUAAGCCCCAAACUGCUUAUUGUAGUAUCAUUACAGUUUAUAGUAGUUUAGCACUUCACUAAUAGUAUUUAAUAACUUCUGAAAACCAGGAGAGCAUUAAUACUAAACCAAAGAAAUAUUUGUUUAUUUUUGUCAGUGCAGAUUACUAAAUCAUUAGGUAAAUAUUUGUUGAAUGCUUACCUUGGGCAAAAGGUGAGGGAAGAGAAAUUAACUUGGCCCUCAAGGAAACCUCCAGUAGUAAGUUUUUCUUAACUGCGGCCUUUAAACAAUGAUAAUGAAAUAUUCAGACCAUAAGGUUCUUAAUUUAUAAUACAAAAGCAGGAUGUUUAAUAUUAAGUUCAAAAUUCUGUUUAGUAUAGAAAUAGUUGAGUAUAAUUGCGUACAAAGCAGCAUUACAUUAAUGUUAGUAUCAAUGUUAGGAUUAGUAUUACUCAAAAUUGUAUUAAGUGUUUAAAUCACAUUCUUUGAAAAUUCAGAUCCACAAAAAAUAUUCCAAUAGUUUAAUUAUGAGAAGGGCAAGAGAAUUUUCACUGAAUGUGAAAAAUAUAUUACUGAGCAAACAAACAGGAAUUGUUUUAAUGAGUUUUGAUUUUCUGUUUCAAUUUUUUGGUACAUUGACUCUUCUGACAUUGAACUUUGCUAUUAAUUAAAAAAAAUUAAACCCCAAAGACAUUAACUUUGUAUUUAAUGCAAAUUUAAUUCAAUUCUUGACUAGCUGUAAAGCUUAAGAAGUUGGCAGUCUUGUUGGCGAAACAAUAACAUAGGAAUUAAGCCAAAAUGCAAAACUAUGUAAUUAGUUUUCAUUACAGUAGAUACAGUUCUUUCCUUCAUAACUAUAGGAGUCAGAGUAGUAUUAACUUAAUAAUUUAAUUUAUUUAGCUUUUGUUUUUCUCUGAAAACAUACCACAAGCUAUUCAUGUAUAGCAUCAAAAUUGAAAGCCACCAGGGUCAAUGUAAAUUGUUGAGGCAUUUUGCUAUACAUUGAGGGAAAUUCUAACUAAUCAGUGGCAACAGUUUUUUUAAAGUGUCAUGGUUCUUUGACAUAAUUUGUAGUAGGUAGGACUCAAAAGAAUUCUCAUUAUCUUUGUGUGAUAAUGUACAUGAGAAAUACUUAUAAACAGUUCUUCAGGGGUACAGAAUAACUGACACUAUUUUGCAGUUGACUGCAGUACUUCCAGAUCUUUAAAACAAAGACGAAAAUUUUAAGAUUAUUGGACUACAUUUUUAAAAUCAAAUUUCCCUGUCAUUAACAAUACUAACAAUGACAGCAAUUAGUGAUUACUGAUAGCCUAAGUAAAUAGGAAGUUAGGUCCUGUUCUAAUAUCUGUUCCUGUUAACUGCAUUUAAAGACAGAUUUCCUCAGAAUUAAUCAGCAGUUAAAUGAUGGUCCUCCUGUUCCUCUGGAAACAGAAAAGAAGCUUCCCUCUUUAGGGUAUGCAGGAAUUUGCUCUCUUCCCACCAAACUAAAUCCAUCCUUCACACUGUCGUUUGCUUACCUCAUUUAUUUUUUCUGCUGCAUGAAAAGUUGGGGAUCACCAAAACUAGGAGUAGUAACAUCAGCAGUACACUGCCCUGGGUGGGUUCUCACUCACAGCUUCUUACCCUAGGAGAUACUCUCUUCUUACUCUGUUCUCAGUAUCACUUUCUGAAGAGUCUUUUGAAAUAGUAAUAUAUUCACAGUUAGAUAAGAAGAGCGCCCAGGGAGUCCGCCAUCCUUGUGAAACAGAUGUUUUUAUUGCAUUUUUCUAGGGAGAAGUUCUCAGCAGGCAUGGGCAUCUUGAAGGGCCCUGUCAUAUCCAAAAAAGUAAAGUUAUAUUACUAAAGACAAGUAGUAAGUUGAGAGAAUCACCGCAGCUGGGGCUGAUUUUUAUUUUGCAGUUGUUGGCCUCUAGAGAAAGACAUUUUGAAAUUUAAGGCAUAUCAUUUUAGUUCUUGAGAUUGUGAGGAUUAUAGCAAACAAGCCAAAAUCUAUUUCUGAAGAACUGCGAUAGAUUUUAAAGAUCGUUUAAAUGCUUUUAAUCAUUUUUCAAUUUGUCCUUCAUAGAAAAUAUAUGGCUAAGGGAUUAAAUUAAUUCAGAAGAGGUCUCUGCUGUAAUUCUUCCACUUGCUAAUUGAGAAUACCUAUAGAUAUAUAUGGAUUUAUUUCCACUGGAGCAGUGGUAGUAGUAUGUACUCAGUGUGCAAGGGUGACAUUGAUCAGAAUGUUUCCAGUGGUGUCUCCAGGUCACACUGCCAUCUUCCUUUUCACCUUUGUCUUUACCUGCUCUGUUGCUCUUUGCUGCAUUUUCUCCUAGAACUGUACCUAGGAGUUGGUCCAGACCUUGCUUUUAUAGACAUCUUUCACCAGCGUACUUUAUCCCACAGCAGGUUCUUGUAGCUUGACUUUGGGCCUUGUGUAUGAUCAUAGGAAUUUAACGCUACCAACCUCAGACUGCAGUUGAACAUACUCUUUUUUAAAAAGGCUAAAUAAACUAGUCCUAAGUUAUGCAUACUCUGAAUUGCUCAAUGGAUAUUAUAAUAUGUUAAUUAUUUCUUUGCCUUUUUUUUUUUUGGUAUGUAGAUCAUUAUAUGCAUACUUGUUCAAAAUCUACAAUUCAUGCGUUGUCUUUGAGAGGAAGAAGGUUUGCACCCCACCCCAUGUUUUACAUAUGUAUAUAUGUUAAGACUGAGCCAAAGAGAAAGGGCAUAUUUGAAAGAAUAUGUGUGCAUUACUUAGACUCCAAUAAUUAGGCUGAUGUUACUUAGACUCCAAUAAUUAGGCUGAUGUAGUUGAUUUAUGUCAUACAUUGAGCUCAGUCUUCAAAGGUAAACAGUACAGUAAGGCUCCUAGCUCACAAAUAAGUGCUUUUUCAACUAACAUUCAUUCUGUCGUGGUAAUAAAAUCCAAAUUCCAGAAUCAUAGUUAGUUGCUAAGCAGAUAUGUAUAAAACCGUAAAUUUAUCUGAAUCAUUUAUUAUUUAAAGAGUAGUGUAUAAAAGUUUAAACAGAAGUCAUUGAUUAGUGAAAGUGACAAAAAUGGAAUUUUGGUAGAAUGAGCUAAUAAAAGGCCUUUCUUAGGGAAUUAUUGGGAAAAGUAAGCUCAAACAUGAGGUCCUAGACUUUUUAGGCUCAGUCGUGUCUGACUCUUUAGGACCCCAUGAACUAUACAGUCCAUAGUCCAUGGAAUUCUCCCAGCCAGAAUACUGGAAUGGGUAGGCUUUCCCUUCUCCAGGGGAUCUUCCUGACCCAGGGCUUGAACCCAGGUCAGAAUCCGCUUGCAAUGUGGGAGACCUGGGUUAGAUCCCUGGGUCAGGAAGAUGCCCUGGAGAAAGGAAAGGCUACCCACUCCAGCGUUCUGGCUGGGAGAAUUUCAUGGACUGUAUAGUUGGACACAACUGAACAACUUUCGCUUUUGGGCAGUAUUUUAUCUUAAAUUAGGGUCUGCAGGAUCUCCCCUUAUCACCUGGACUUUUUUGUCAGUGUGUGCUACUUAUUUAGUAUCCAGGUUAAGACCAUUUGAAAUGAGCCUUUUAAGUCUACAACUUAUAUAACAUCUAUAAAUAUUACUGCUACAUAGAAUAACAUUUUUAGCCUCAGCACAAUACCUUGUGCAAUUUUAUAUCUACUAAAUGCCCAAUGAAAGGCUGUCAACCCACUGUAUACUUAAAAAAGCACAACCUAAAAGUUGAAAAUUAUGUUUUAUUUGGUGGAUUUGCUAAGGAUUUAAACAAUGAGACAGCUUCUUGGAUAGCUCUGAGGGACCAUCUUAAAGAAGUAAGGGAGAAACCAGAGAAUAUUAGGCGUUUUUGUACCAGAAACCAGGUAGUCAGAACAUUAAAAGAUUACUGUUAAAGAAAAAGCAGACAUCUCAAGCUAAUGAAUUUAGCACUUUUCUUUGUAGGGGAAUAUGCAAGGAUCUGGGCUGUUGAUAUGCUCCCUAGGGUAGUAUUUGUUUCUAUACACUCCCCUUUGUGUAUGUGUGUGUUAGGGGGUGGGGGGUGGUGGAGCUGCAGUGGCUAAAGGCUUGAUGGUCACAGCAUCCUUUGUUUACUGAUAACAUUUUUUAUCCACACCUUAUAGAGAGAACCUAGCUCUCAGUCUGGUGCAGCUUGGCAAAUUCUGACAUAGCUUAAAUUGCCAGGAGCGUAGGGGAAUCAUUCCUUGCCAGUGAGAGUACACAUCCUUUCUUUGCUGGCUAAGGUGAAAUCUGAGCCAGGGGAUUCUAUAUGACCUUAGUGCAAUGGCCAUCUCUCAGGAGCAGGGUUAGAGAAUUGGCCUUAUUACCUUACUUUCAUAAUUUUUUUAUCUUUCUGAGACUGUGUAUAACCUCACUUGGGGAUAGUAUUUCUCUAAACCACUGUACUUCACAGACAUUGUGACUACUUUCCCCUGGGAAGUAUUGGAAGCCUCAAAGUCAGGGCAAAUGUGUAUGACUGAGCAUGAGUGAACUUGACAAAUGAAAUCAGUAUCUUUGCAAGUUUUUGUACUCUUUUUCUUAAAGUCACAUAUUAAAGCUGGAGGUUUACCCAGAACCAGAGAUCCAGAUAGCAUUUUUUAUACAGCCUAGGAUAAACUGCUCAUUUCCCAUCAAUAUAGUACAAAAACUAAGGGACAUCAGUUGCUAAUUAUAAGGCAAGUACCUGCAUAUUUUCUCACAAAUUUUGUGAUAAACUAGUGCUAUACUCUGAACAUUAAAGGAGGCUCUUUUUUUUUUAACCUCUAGCUGUCCAAACAUGUUAUUCAAGUAAAAGACACUGGUAAAGGAGUUUCUCCCUUUGUAUUUUGUGGUAAUUUAGGACAAACUCAGCAUUUAAGGAAUGUAUUAUUGUAUUUUUUGAGUUUCCAAAGCCAAGAAUAUAAGAACAAUACCUAGGUACAGGUCCAUUACUUUUAGUAAAGUUAGUUUCACUCAUUCUGGUAAUAGAUGCUCCUCAAUUUAUAAUUGAGGCAAUAAUCUAACCAGAAAGUCCAGAAAGGGUAGUAUAGCAAGUAGCAACCGCAUAGUACUUGCUCAGGGUCAUGCAGUUGUCAUUCUGGUGGAGGUCCUUUGCCAGUCUGAUGAAAGAGAAAUUAGCAGUCCUUGUUUCUCUUAUGUUGAUAGAUAGGUCUCAAGUAGAGAUUUAUUUUCCAAGAGGAAAAGUGAUUAAGUAGGUACCCUACAGAAAGAUUUUUCAGAAUAGAAAAUCUGCCUUAAAAGUUUCAUAGUCUUUGAACCUAGUUCAGAAGUGGCCAAGACCAAACCUCAAAGCAUGAAGGCAAAAGUUAGGGUAUACUAAAAGAGGACAAAGUAUAAUCUAGUUAAGAACCAUCAAAUGAAGUCAGAGGCAAGACCUUCCUAUUGACAGGCAAGUUAAGUGCUAUCUUGGAGCUUCUAGUUGUUUCCUGAUGGAUUCUCUUAGAAUAGGUCUGGAAGAGUUUUGGGACAUAUCUGAAACAUGAGGUUGAGUUUUCCUGAUGAGAAGGCCAGGGUUAGAAGGUCCGCCAGCUGUCAGAUGGACCCAGCACUGCCAGAAGCUAUUUGUAAACUGCCUCCACUAGUCUGGUGAUUCAAGUGGGAAGUAUCCAAGGAACAUUCUUCUGGAACAUUGUGUCUACAAGAAACUAAAAAUUAAUCGUAAAUUAUUUGAUGGGUGAGGUCGUCAUCUUCUGAAACAUAAAGCAUUGUUCCAAGACAGAAUACUUUUGCACCUGACAAGUAGGAAGACUUGAAAAGGCCACCUUAAGUCAGGUUCAGGCUAUGUGUUUCACCAAUGAACCUUAGAUGAGAAUGUAGUGGGAUGAUUACCUGGAAAUUUCAUAGAUUAUGAAUAAUUUGUGAGUUAAAUCCAGUGUGUUUGCUGAAAAUUAGAAAUUGAGGUGUGUGCUGGGCUGCUAGAUGUUACACUGUCACUGCUGUUUCUAGAUGGAGGGACAGAAAAGUCUUUGAGAAACCUGUAGGACCGUAUAGAUUCCACUUACAAUCUAUUUGAAAAAGUGUGUUCCCUGACUAUCAUCAAAAUGCUAUUAGGUUUUAAUGUUAAAGACAUCACCAACAAUCAUGUCAGCUCCUGCAUAUAAGUAUGUUACUAUCCUGCAAAGGUACACAAAAUCAUUUAAAUAUAUUCUUAAGAACAACACAUAUAUAAUAUUAACCUGAAUAUUUGCAGAGGGCGUCCAAGAGGGAUGAGUUUGUUUUAUUUAUUCAAUCAGUUGUUCAUUCAUUCACUCUAUUUUUAAAGUUAGUUUGCUACCUGAUCUUGAAAAAGGUAACAUCCAAAUGAGUUAGCAGAGAAAACAAGUUGGUUAAAAAAGAUAAGCCCAAAGAUGCCUUAAAAUGAGAAAUCGCCACAGCCUUACUUUCAUGAGAAUAACAACAUUUUGUAAUAGGUACAGCUGAAGAGACUAGAAAGACUGCUAGAUAUGUUAACGCCUCCACAAGUGAAUAAACCUUUAUUUGCAGUUGUCUACAAGAACUACCCAAAAACUUGAGCAGAAUGAGGAAGUUAUGGCUUUUAGGAGUGAAGGUACAAUCUCAGGAUAACACUUUCUGCCACUUAGGAAAAAUAUGGAGAAAGCAAAGUUUUUCUAUCUGGUGUUAAAACAGACUGCAUAUCCAGAGACCAAUCUAUUAUUUUUCUCUGAGCUACCAGUCCCCUCUUCAAUAUUAUACAUAGUGUUUUCUUUUAGUCAUAGCACCUGUUACAAAUUUAAACAGGAUGAGAUAGCAGAAACAAUUCCUUUAAGAAAUUGUGCAUAAUCAAAGGUGUGUAUGUGUAUGUGAACAUAUUUGCAAGAAAAGGAAUGUGCCAAUGAUUUUCUUUCUCAGCUUAAAUAAAUUUGCCAAGAAACUCAGAAAUCAGAAUACUAUUUUAAAUAUUAUUAACAGGGCCAUUAAUUCUUCAACAAUCAUCACAAUUACAGAUUUUAAAGUUAUUUUCAAAGGAUACUGAAAUCCAGGUGUCUGGGGUUUGUUGUUCAGUUGCCAAGUCGUACGUGACCCCAUUGACUGUAACACACCAGCUUCCUCUGUCCUCCACUAUCUCCCAAGUUUGCUCAAAUUCAUGUCCAUGUUGCUAUCUAACCAUCUCAUCCUCUGUUUCACCCUUCUCUCACCUUCAAUCUUUUUCAGCAUCAGGGUCUUUUCCUUUGAGUUAGCUUUUCCCAUCAUGUGGCCAAAGUAUUGGAACUUCAGCUUCAGCAUCAGCCCUUCCAAUGAAUAUUCAGGAUUGAUUUCCUCUAGGAUUGACUGAUUUGAUCUUGCAGUCCAAGGGACUCUGAAGAGUCUUCUCCAACACCAUAAUUAGAAAGCAUCAUUUCUUCGGCACUGAGCCUUCUUGAUGGUCCAAUUCUCACAUCCAUCCGUGACUACUGGAAAAACCAUAGCUUUGACCAUACAGACCUUUGUCAGCAAAGUGAUGUCUCUGCUUUUUAAUACACUGUCUGUUUGUCAUGGCUUUCCUUCCAAAGAGCAAAUUCUUUUAAUGUCAUGGCUGCAGUCACUGUCCACAGUGAUUUUGGAGCUCAAGAAAAAAUCAGUCACUGCUUCCACUUUUUCCCCUUCUGUUAGCCAUAAAGUAAUGUGACCAGUAGCCAUGAUCUUAAGUUUUUUGAAUGUUGAAUUUCAAGCCAACUUUUUCUCUCUCUUCUUUCACCUCAUCAAGAAGGUCUUUAGUUCUUCUUGACUUUCCGUCAUUAGAGUGGUUUCAUCUGCAUAUCUGAAGUUAUUGAUCGUUCUCCUGGCAAUCUUAAUUCCAGCCUGUGAUUCGUCUAGCCCAACAUUUUGCAUCAUGGGACUCUGCAUAUAAGUUAAAUAAGCAGGAUUACAAUAUACAGCCUUGUCUUACUCCUUUCCCAAUUUUGAACCAGUCCAUUGUUCCAUGUAAGUUUCUAACUUACUUCUUGACCUGCAUAUAGGUUUCUCAGGAGACAGGUAAGGUGGUCUGGUACUCCCAUCUCUAAGAAUUUUCCACUGUUUAUUGUGAUCCACACAGUCAAAGUCUUUAGCAUAGUCAACAAAACAUGUUUUUCUGGAAUUCCCUUGCUGUCUCCAUGAUCCACAGAUGUUGUCCAUUGUAUCUCUGGUUCCUUUGCUUUUUCUAAACCCAGCUUAUAUAUCUGGAAGUUCUUGGUUCAUGUACUGCUGACGCCUCGCUUGAAGGAUUUGAGCAUAGCCUUGCUAAUAUGUGAAAUGAGUGCUAUUGUACAGUAGUUUGAACAUUUCUUUGGCAUUACCCUUCUUUGGGAUUGGAAUGAAGACUGACCUUUUCCAGUCCUGUGAUACUGCUGAGUUUUCUAAUUUUGCUGACAUUGAGUACAGCACUUUAACAGCAACAUCUUUUUAGGAUUUAAAAUAGCUCAGCUGAAAUUCUAUCACCUCCACUAGCUUUGUUCAUAUAAUGCCUCCUAAGGCCCACAUCACUUCACAUUUAAGGAUGUCUGGCUCUAGGUGAGUGACCAUACCAUCAUGGUUAUCCAGGUCAUUAAGAUAUUUUGUGUAUCAUUUUUCUGUAUAUUCUUGCCACCUCUUAAUCUCUUCUGCUUCUCUUAGAUCCUUACCAUUUCUGUCCUUUAUUGUGCCCAUUCUUGCAUGAAGCAUUCCCUUGAUACCUCGUUUUCUUGAAAGAUCUCUAGUCUUUCCCAUUCUAUUGUCUAAUGGUGCUUUUUUUCAAAAAGUAGUAUUUGCAAAGGUAGUUUUAUAAUAUAGAAUAGAAUUCUACCUACUUUUCUGCAGCAAUAAGGAACAGAAUAUAUUUUCCCAUUUUAAUCUGGUUAAGAUAUCUUUUAUUAAAUCAGCAAUUAGCAGUGUCUAAAUACCAGAAUUCCAUUAGGUGGUAACAUCCAGAGAGAAGAUUGGGUACAAACUUAAAAUCCAGAAGAGGGCAGAAAGAUAAUGAAUGUUAAUAAAUGGAAUAUGGAAAAUGUAAUGUCUUGCUUGUACAUAUAAUUAAGAAUAUAAGUCAAGUUUAUUGCAGAUUAAGAUAUGUUUGUUGAAGCAGUCUAAAUAGUCACCUGGAGUAGAUUUUGGUAAAAUGAUUAUACAUUUAAAUCACUUGUUUUUUAAAUUGUAUGGAUAUUUUGUCUUUAUUGACCUUAGUUUGUAGUUUCAGAUAGUUUUCCCUGGCCUGGGAAAGCUUUUCUAUUGUUUUUCUCCAACCUCUUAACCCCAUCCUUCAAAUUAUUUUUACAGUUCUUAAGAAUCUGCAAACUUGCUCUUUCAUAUAUUUUCUGAAAAUGUGAAAAGUGUUAAAAGUUUAUGUUUUCAGUGCCUUAGGAAAUAAAUAGGAAUACAUUUUAAAAACUGUGUGCCCAAGUCAGCAUUUUCUAAAGUGCCAUGAUCAGUUUAUAGGUGUUAGGUGAAAAAGGAUGCAGUUAACCUAAUUUUGUGAAAUGCCAAGUUAAGUCAAACUUUUUUCUGUAAGACUUCAUAGGGCCUUCAGCAUCCUCCUGUUACCCUCUACGUACAUUCUGUUUUCCAAAUGUACCUGGCCUUCUGAUAGGAUGGUUGUUCCUUGGGAAACAUGCGGAAAUGCUGGUUUGCUGCUGCUGCUGCUAAGUUGCUUUAGUCGUGUCCGACUCUGUGCGACCCAUGGACUGCAGCCUACCAGGCUUCUCCAUCCAUGGGAUUCUCCAGGCAAGAACACUGGAGUGGGUUGCCAUUUCCUAUGUUGUUAAAAACUGAAUACAUAUGUCUUAAACAAAAGUGCCCAGUCCUUCACUAGAAUGUGCGCUCUUUCAGGGCAAGGACCCCUAUUUAGUCAUUGUAAUCCAGUAUUACGUAUAACAAAUAUAAUGCUCAGUAUAUAUUAUUAAUAAAGUAAUAUACAUUUAAUAACUUAAAA